CCCUUAGACGUUCUGGGCCGCACGCGCGCUACACUGACGAUGGCAACGAGUUUUUCCUUCGCCGAAAGGUGUGGGUAAUCUUUUGAAACAUCGUCGUGCUGGGGAUAGAUCAUUGCAAUUUUUGAUCUUGAACGAGGAAUUCCUAGUAAGCGCGAGCCAUCAGCUCGCGUUGAUUACGUCCCUGCCCUUUGUACACACCGCCCGUCGCUACUACCGAUUGAAUGGUUUAGUGAGGACUCCUGAUUGGCGCCGCCGCCCCGGCAACGGAGCAGCGGACUGCCGAAAAGUUGUUCAAACUUGAUCAUUUAGAGGAAGUAAAAGUCGUAACA
rnacentral:rRNA from 1 species